rnacentral:rRNA from 1 species
GACGAACCGUGCGAACGUUGUUCGGAAUCACUGGGCUUAAAGGGCGCGUAGGCGGGCUGUCAAGUCUGGGGUGAAAUCCCGCGGCUCAACCGUGGAACUGCCUCAGAUACUGACGGCCUCGAGGGAGGUAGGGGCGAGCGGAACUGUGAGUGGAGCGGUGAAAUGCGUUGAUAUUCACAGGAACUCCGGUGGCGAAGGCGGCUCGCUGGAUCUCUUCUGACGCUGAGGCGCGAAAGCUAGGGGAGCAAACGGG